GCUUGUCUCAAAGAUUAAGCCAUGCAUGUCUAAGUAUAAACGACUUUAUACAGUGAAACUGCGAAUGGCUCAUUAAAUCAGUUAUAGUUUAUUUGAUAAUACCUUACUACUUGGAUAACCGUGGUAAUUCUAGAGCUAAUACAUGCUACACAACCCGACUUCUGGAAGGGUGGUACUGAUUAGAUACAAAACCAAUCCGGGCAACCGGUUCACAGGUGAUUCAUAAUCAUUUCUCGAAUCGUAUGGCUUUACGCUGACGAUGGUUCAUUCAAAUUUCUGCCCUAUCAACUUUCGAUGGUAAGGUAUUGGCUUACCAUGGUUACAACGGGUAACGGGGAAUUAGGGUUCGAUUCCGGAGAGGGGGCCUGAGAAAUGGCCACCACUUCCAAGGAAGGCAGCAGG
rnacentral:rRNA from 1 species